rnacentral:rRNA from 1 species
CCUACGGGGGGCUGCAGUGGGGAAUAUUGGACAAUGGGGGCAACCCUGAUCCAGCCAUGCCGCGUGUGUGAAGAAGGCCCUCGGGUGGUAAAGCACUUUCAGUGAGGAAGAACGCCUGGUGGUUAAUACCCAUCAGGAAAGACAUCACCCACAGAAGAAGCACCGGCUAACUCCGUGCCAGCAGCCGCGGUAAUACGGAGGGUGCGAGCGUUAAUCGGAAUUACUGGGCGUAAAGCGCGCGUAGGUGGCUUGAUAAGCCGGUUGUGAAAGCCCCGGGCUCAACCUGGGAACGGCAUCCGGAACUGUCAAGCUAGAGUGCAGGAGAGGAAGGUAGAAUUCCCGGUGUAGCGGUGAAAUGCGUAGAGAUCGGGAGGAAUACCAGUGGCGAAGGCGGCCUUCUGGACUGACACUGACACUGAGGUGCGAAAGCGUGGGUAGCAAACAGGAUUAGAUACCCUGGUAGUC